rnacentral:rRNA from 1 species
GACGAACGCUGGCGGCGUGCUUAACACAUGCAAGUCACGGGGGCCCGCAAGGGUCAACCGGCGAACGGGUGCGUAACACGUGAGCGACCUGCCCAAUUGCGGGGGAUAGCCGGCUCAACGGCCGGGUAAUAACCGCAUACGCUUCCCUGGGGGCAUUCUUGGGGAAGGAACCUACGGGGCGAUUGGAGGGGCUCGCGGCCUAUCAGCUAGUUGGCGAGGUAACGGCUCACCAAGGCGAUGACGGGUAGCUGGUCUGAGAGGAUGGCCAGCCACAUUGGGACUGAGAGACGGCCCAGACUCCUACGGGAGGCAGCAGUGGGGGAAUCUUGCGCAAUGGCCGAAAGGCUGACGCAGCGACGCCGCGUGGAGGAUGACGCCCUCGGGUGGUAAACUCCUGUUGCCCGGGACGAAUGCCUGUUUCG